GAAAGAAAGAAAGAAAGAAAGAAAGAAAGAAAGAAAGAAAGAAAGAAAGAAAGAAAGAAAGAAACGUAUCUCCUCAUAGUUCUGGGGUUGAGAGUCUGUCCGACCUCCGGGUGUGAGCAGGGCUGUGGUUCCUUCUCAGGCCCCUUUCCUUGGCGUGCAGAUGGCCACCUUCUCCUUGUGUCUUCACUGGUCUUCCCUCUGUGUGUAUCCUCAACUCUUCUUAUAAGGACACCACGUAUAUCGGGUUAGAGGCAUCCCUAGAAACUCACUGAAGACCUUACCUUCAAAUAUAGUCACCGUGUGAGGCUUAGGACUUCCAAUAUCUGGAUUUGGGGGCGGGGAGGGCACAAUCCAGCCAGUUAGCAGUGUGGUCGUGAAAAUCUUCCAUUGCCAGAGGGGUCUGAGAAAUGCCUGGGGAGACCACAUUUAGUGGAUCCCUUUUAUCUGCUAUCGUACACUAGGAAUCUCCCAGAGGAGUCUGGCUUUACCAAACAAACACAAAAAUGAAAAAAGCAGCCCCCACCCCCAUCCUAAUGACAUACACCUUUGACACUCCAGGUCUUCCCAUGGAACCUGACAGAUCGCAGUGGUGGCCCAGCGCCGUGUUGGGUCCUACCCCUGAGUAGUGCUGUUGGAGAGGGCUACUGGUCUAACCCCAGCAGCCCCACUGGUGGUACCAAUCUUUCCACCUACUGCCUCCCUCGAGGUUGGAGAUACCGUUGGACUCCUUCUCUCCCGUGACUGGCACUCGAGAACACUUUUUGCAUCUGAUUUUCUUAGUGUUUGAAUGAAAUGAAGAAGCGAUGCAAGGAGAUGCCUCUUGAAGGGAAAGAAACUUAAGUGUUCAACUUUAAAUAGAGCCUCAGUGCAGAAUGGCUGUCCAACCUCCAUGGAAACAGAAUUCUUUAUGGACUCAUUAUACAGGCAGACUCGCUAAGCUCUUUAGGACAUUAGUGCCUUUGAUAAUGAUGUUAGCAACUUUCCCUGGAAUAUUGCAUAUUUACAGUGGGUCCUUAGCGGAGUAGGGGCCUCGUGGAUUAAUCCCUAUUUAAUGAGAAAUAUUUGAAGGUGAUGAGAGUCAUAUGCUGCUGAUGGGGAAACUCUGCCUUGAUAGAUUAUUUUUGGAACAUUAAAUUCUACUCAAUCAAGACACUUGACUAUUUAGGACAGGACAAUUUUGUGAAAGAUGGAAAUAAAAUACAGGAUUUAUACUCAAUUAUUUUCAUCACCUAUAAAAUGUCCUGUAUUUGCUUUAAGGGUUUUAAGUUUUCACACUUUCUUGCUUUCAUCAAACCUCGGUAGCCAGCACUAAAUCAAGUGGCUAGAUACUGAGUCUUGGCUGAAGGGUGUUUUCAGUAAGGUGACAGCCAAUGGCUGCGAUUGAGAAAAUGUAAUUUAUUUUAGAUUAAUUUGUAAUAUAUGUUUCAUUUCAAACUGUCUGGAAAGGGCUAUGAAAAGAUGUUUAUACGUGAAAAGCGCUGUUGGAUUCUCACCACCGUGAUAUAAAUUUUCCACAUCUACCUCAAGACUUAGGUAUAAAGCACAAUUAGAAUGUUUUUAGGUACUCGGAAAUGUUUGGAUGUU